rnacentral:rRNA from 1 species
AGAGUUUGAUCAUGGCUCAGGAUGAACGCUAGCUACAGGCUUAACACAUGCAAGUCGAGGGGAAACGGUAUUGGAAGCUUGCUUCCGAUAGGCGUCGACCGGCGCACGGGUGAGUAACGCGUAUCCAACCUGCCCACCACUUGGGGAUAACCUUGCGAAAGUAAGACUAAUACCCAAUGAUAUCUCUAGAAGACAUCUGAAAGAGAUUAAAGAUUUAUCGGUGAUGGAUGGGGAUGCGUCUGAUUAGCUUGUUGGCGGGGUAACGGCCCACCAAGGCAACGAUCAGUAGGGGUUCUGAGAGGAAGGUCCCCCACAUUGGAACUGAGACACGGUCCAAACUCCUACGGGAGGCAGCAGUGAGGAAUAUUGGUCAAUGGACGAGAGUCUGAACCAGCCAAGUAGCGUGCAGGAAGACGGCCCUAUGGGUUGUAAACUGCUUUUAUAAGGGAAUAAAGUGAGAGUCGUGACUCUUUUUGCAUGUACCUUAUGAAUAAGGACCGGCUAAUUCCGUGCCAGCAGCCGCGGUAAUACGGAAGGUCCGGGCGUUAUCCGGAUUUAUUGGGUUUAAAGGGAGCGUAGGCCGGAGAUUAAGCGUGUUGUGAAAUGUAGACGCUCAACGUCUGCACUGCAGCGCGAACUGGUUUCCUUGAGUACGCACAAAGUGGGCGGAAUUCGUGGUGUAGCGGUGAAAUGCUUAGAUAUCACGAAGAACUCCGAUUGCGAAGGCAGCUCACUGGAGCGCAACUGACGCUGAAGCUCGAAAGUGCGGGUAUCGAACAGGAUUAGAUACCCUGGUAGUCCGCACGGUAAACGAUGGAUGCCCGCUGUUGGUCUGAAUAGGUCAGCGGCCAAGCGAAAGCAUUAAGCAUCCCACCUGGGGAGUACGCCGGCAACGGUGAAACUCAAAGGAAUUGACGGGGGCCCGCACAAGCGGAGGAACAUGUGGUUUAAUUCGAUGAUACGCGAGGAACCUUACCCGGGCUUGAAUUGCAGAGGAAGGAUUUGGAGACAAUGACGCCCUUCGGGGCCUCUGUGAAGGUGCUGCAUGGUUGUCGUCAGCUCGUGCCGUGAGGUGUCGGCUUAAGUGCCAUAACGAGCGCAACCCCUCUCCUUAGUUGCCAUCAGGUUAAGCUGGGCACUCUGGGGACACUGCCACCGUAAGGUGUGAGGAAGGUGGGGAUGACGUCAAAUCAGCACGGCCC